rnacentral:rRNA from 1 species
AGCGAACGCUGGCGGCAGGCCUAACACAUGCAAGUCGAACGAACUCUUCGGAGUUAGUGGCGGACGGGUGAGUAACACGUGGGAACGUGCCUUUAGGUUCGGAAUAACUCAGGGAAGCUUGUGCUAAUACCGAAUGUGCCCUUCGGGGGAAAGAUUUAUCGCCUUUAGAGCGGCCCGCGUCUGAUUAGCUAGUUGGUGAGGUAAAGGCUCGCCAAGGCGACGAUCAGUAGCUGGUCUGAGAGGAUGAUCAGCCACAUUGGGACUGAGACACGGCCCAAACUCCUACGGGAGGCAGCAGUGGGGAAUCUUGCGCAAUGGGCGAAAGCCUGACGCAGCCAUGCCGCGUGAAUGAUGAAGGUCUUAGGAUUGUAAAAUUCUUUCACCGGGGACGAUAAUGACGGUACCCGGAGAAGAAGCCCCGGCUAACUUCGUG